GCUACCUUAAAGGUAAAGUCACCCCAUGACAAACCUACAUCUACAUUUGUGAGUUGUGAUUCUCUUUCACAACUAAAGAAAAUCUCUGUCCUACAGCAGUGGUUUCUUUCUGAGCAACCCCUACAUCAUCUACAAAGUGAUUACCCUUUAAAUGGAAUUAUUGAAAUUAAGAACAGUGAGACAUUUUGACCCAGAUCUCAGUUUACAGAAGAAUGAUGCUGCACAGACUAUGCUCCCUGAUCGCACGUCCCUGAGGCAUAUGGUGUGAUUCCUGGGCCAGAAGCUGGACUUACAAUAUCCUUGUGGGUAUCUUCCAACUUGGGAUAUUCUAUAAAUAAAUGAAAAAUGAAGCAAAGAAGGCAAAGGAGAGAAGAAAGAAAGAGAGAGAGAAAAAGGA